rnacentral:rRNA from 1 species
UUUGCCUCGGGGGCGACCCGGCCUUCGGGCGUCUUGGGGCCCCCGGUGGACCACUCUUACACUGCAUCUUUUGCGUCUGAGUUAAAUAUUGAAUCAAUCAAAACUUUCAACAACGGAUCUCUUGGUUCUGGCAUCGAUGAAGAACGCAGCGAAAUGCGAUAAGUAAUGUGAAUUGCAGAAUUCAGUGAAUCAUCGAAUCUUUGAACGCACAUUGCGCCCCUCGGUAUUCCGGGGGGCAUGCCUGUUCGAGCGUCAUUACACCACUCAAGCCUGGCUUGGUAUUGGGCGUCCGCGGCCGCGCUACGCGACCGCGCGCCCUAAUGUCUUCGGCUGAGCCGUCCGUCUCUAAGCGUUGUGGUCUUUUCAGAUUCGCUUGCGAGGCUGGGCCGGUUCGAUCGCCGCUAAACACCCCUCUCACAAGGUUGACCUCGGAUCAGGUAGGGAUACCCGCUGAACUUAAGCAUAUCAAUAAGCGGAGGA